rnacentral:rRNA from 1 species
AAUCAACGCUGGCGGCGUGCCUCAGACAUGCAAGUCGAACGCGAAAUUUCCCUUCGGGGAGAAAGUAGAGUGGCGCACGGGUGAGUAACACGUAGGUAAUUUGCCUUUGGGUGGGGAAUAACUCAGGGAAACUUGAGCUAAUACCGCAUAAUGCAGCGGCUCGACAUCGCGACAGUUGUUAAAGCGGGGAUUGGAGCAAUCCGACCUCGCGCCUAAAGAGAAGCCUGCGGCAGAUUAGCUAGUUGGUAAGGUAAUGGCUUACCAAGGCGACGAUCUGUAACCGGCCUGAGAGGGCGGUCGGUCACACUGACACUGACAUACGGGUCAGACUCCUACGGGAGGCAGCAGUCGGGAAUUUUGGGCAAUGGGCGCAAGCCUGACCCAGCAACGCGCGUGAAGGAUGAAAUUUUUCGGAAUGUAAACUUCGCAAGAACAGGAAGAAUAAGU